UACGGGGGGGGCAAGCGUUGUUCGGAAUUACUGGGCGGAAAGGGUGCGUAGGCGGUCAGCACAAGUCAGUUGUGAAAUCUCCGGGCUUAACUCGGAAAGGUCAACUGAUACUGUGCGACUAGAGUGCGGAAGGGGCAACUGGAAUUCUCGGUGUAGCGGUGAAAUGCGUAGAUAUCGAGAGGAACACCUGCGGCGAAGGCGGGUUGCUGGGCCGACACUGACGCUGAUGCGCGAAAGCCAGGGGAGCGAACGGG
rnacentral:rRNA from 1 species